GACGAACGCUGGCGGCGUGCUUAACACAUGCAAGUCGAACGGAAAGGCCCUGCUUUUGUGUGGUGCUCGAGUGGCGAACGGGUGAGUAACACGUGAGUAACCUGCCCUUGACUUUGGGAUAACUUCAGGAAACUGGGGCUAAUACCGGAUAGGAGCUCCUGCUGCAUGGUGGGCGUUGGAAAGUUUCGGCGGUUGGGGAUGGACUCGCGGCUUAUCAGCUUGUUGGUGGGGUAGUGGCUUACCAAGGCUUUGACGGGUAGCCGGCCUGAGAGGGUGACCGGCCACAUUGGGACUGAGAUACGGCCCAGACUCCUACGGGAGGCAGCAGUGGGGAAUAUUGCACAAUGGGCGGAAGCCUGAUGCAGCAACGCCGCGUGCGGGAUGACGGCCUUCGGGUUGUAAACCGCUUUCGGCUGUGACGAAGCGUGAGUGACGGUAAUGGGAGAAGAAGCACCGGCUAACUACGUG
rnacentral:rRNA from 1 species